CCUACGGGCGGCAGCAGUGAGGAAUAUUGGUCAAUGGGCGGAAGCCUGAACCAGCCAAGUCGCGUGCAGGAUGACGGCCCUACGGGUUGUAAACUGCUUUUAUACGGGAAUAACGCGCCUUACGUGUAGGGCUUUGCAUGUACCGUAUUCAUAAGGACCGGCUAAUUCCGUGCCAGCAGCAGCGGUAAUACGGAAGGUCCGGGCGUUAUCCGGAUUUAUUGGGUUUAAAGGGAGCGUAGGCCGCAUGUCAAGCGUGCUGUGAAAUGUCCGGGCUCAACCCGGGCCUUGCAGCGCGAACUGGCGGGCUUGAGUCCGCGGAAGGCAGGCGGAAUUCGUCGUGUAGCGGUGAAAUGCGUAGAUAUGACGAAGAACCCCGAUUGCGAAGGCAGCUUGCUGCAGCGGAACUGACGCUGAUGCUCGAAAGCGCGGGUAGCGAACAGGAUUAGAUACCCGGGUAGUC
rnacentral:rRNA from 1 species